UACAGAGGUCUCAAGCGUUGUUCGGAUUCAUUGGGCGUAAAGGGUGCGUAGGUGGCGCCGUAAGUCAGGUGUGAAAUUUCGGAGCUUAACUCCGAAACUGCAUUUGAUACUGCGGUGCUUGAGGACUGGAGAGGAGACUGGAAUUCACGGUGUAGCAGUGAAAUGCGUAGAUAUCGUGAGGAACACCAGUGGCGAAGGCGGCUCGCUGGACAAGUAUUGACGCUGAGGUGCGAAAGCGUGGGGAGCAAACAGG
rnacentral:rRNA from 1 species